CGUCACACAUGACGAUUCGCAGUUCGAUCGUGUUUCUCUCGGAGUCGGACGUGUUUUUCUUGCGCUCGUGAAUUGUGUGCUAUUUUUUGUUGUUUGCGGACUUUUCGAAAGAAGAUUAAAUAUUUUUUCAGAAUGAAGACGUUGGAGCAGUUUUGGAGGCGGUUCCGGCCGAAGAAGGCGCCGACGCAGAACGAGUCUAUAGGACUCGUACCGCGCCCGAAGAGAUAUCGGAGGAGCGGAGGGUCGAGCGAGAGGCAGCGGGCGAAGAAGACCGUCCCCAAGUGCGCAUGGCGUGGCAUCCUCCCGGAGUCGGGAUUAUGCGACGCUACACUCUUGCACCGUCGCACUUGGCCAAGGUCUUCGGGGGUCAUCCGGCCACAGACCUUGCUGUGGAAGAUGAAGAAAGUGACGGCUCGUCCGAGUUGACAUUUUCUGGUUGGUCGUGUUCUGCCUCUUCGUCUGCCACGGGGACGCCACUGCCUUGCGGAAGUCGGAACGAGGUGGAAUCGGAGGAGAAAGCCGCCCGAGUCUCGGGACCGUGGUGUCUGCGGUUCCCUUGGCCUAGGCGGUGAUCCUCUUCGAUUUUUUCCUUCUUCAUCCGGAUGCGACACUCUUACCUGAUUAGACACUUUUCACCCGGACUCGACACCUUUCCUUGGACAUUACCCGCGGACUUGCCUCCCGAAAGUGACACUCAGUCGACGACAACGGAUUUGACUUCCCGAUUGUCAACCUAUAGUAAUUUCGAAUAUCUCGUGUCGUUCGAAGGAAAAUUGUUUUCUUAUUUAGUAAGCAAAAUUUCAAGAUUUUGUAUAAAGCAGUUGUCGAAAUAUAAGUAAUUAAAAAGUGCAAAAAUCUCCAAGAAGCUAUAUUUUCUUCUCAUUUUUCUUCAUCCGACACCCGGACGUGACACGUUUACUGACCGGACGCCAUUCGGCCGACCCCUUUUCCCAAACAGCUGUUAUGAGGAUUGAGCUUCCGGUUAAGUUAGGCUAGGUCGGGUCUUCUCAUAACACUAUUCGGGAAGAAAGUCUAAUAAUGAUGACCUUAUAUAAUAAAUGAAUCAACUUCUUUUCUCACUGUCUUUGUGUUUUGUAGGAACAUUCGGGAGGAAGAUUCUUCUCCCUCCCAAUUUUGCCUCGAAGUGGACGACGUGGCCAUUCAUCAUCAUACAAGUGAAUAUUUUCCGCAAUCUCCGAUGACAUGCCGAAGAUGUUCUUGGAUCGCACACACACACACGGACAUAAUACCACUGUACAUGAAGAUAUACACCGUUUAACCUUUAAUCGAAUUCUCGCACUUACGCACUUAUACGUCAAGCGCCUCGUUCUAUGUAAUUCGACACAACGAAACAACCCGAACACUCGCUUCCCACAAAUCCAACUCCUGGGUCCUCGUCCUGGGAAGUGGAAACGCCAAUUUUAAAGAUUAAAACGCUUUAAAUUGGCGGCCGAAGGGGCUCUGGUAAUCACAAGUCGCAUGGAUUAAAUGGAAUUUUAGACAUUAGCAUCAAUAAUCGUUUUGUGAUGAAUUUUUCUGUUAAAUCUCUGGAAAUUUAGGAUGGGAAGAAAUUAUCUGCGCACAAAUCUUGCUCGUAUUUCAGUAUUGCUAACUCUUACCUAAGAUCAUUAAAGAUCUUCGUGCUCAUCGUAUAUUUCAUCACACUUGCAACAUGGCAAAUGGUAAUUUUUGUUUUGUUUUGUUUAUGGAGGACUGUUUUAAUCUUACCCAUCCUUAGUUUCUGAAGAUCCACAAUGUGGGCUGCCGGACUGUAUGAGACGGGACUUGACACAUUAGGUAAGAUCGCCCUGGGUUCUUCAACAGCCCGAAUUCGAUCUCAGAGUGGUAGACUGAAGUCUUAACCGCUCAAACAUCCGGCCGUCACCUUGUUAUACUAGGUGUUGAAAGUAUAACAAGUAGCGACACUUCCAUAUAAACAGUUUAUUAUUGUACACCAAAUAAAUUGUUUUUAGUUGGUAAGGAAUGUACCAUAUCUCUCACAUAAUAUAUUAUUUCAGUAAGAAAUUGAUAUUCGAUGUACACCAUUUUGUUCACGAUGCAUUUUAGGAACUUAAGUAUGACAUAUAUUAAGGACGUUCUUUAUUUAAUAAUAACAAAUGAAAUUUGAUCCAAUAAUCUAGUGUCUGAUAUCAGGAGUCCCUGGCAAGUAAAAAAGUCACCGACUGACUACAUAUACAGGAAUCAGAGUUGCCGAUUUCUCUGUCCCCCAAACACCUAUAGUAAUUUCGAAUAUCUCGUGUCGUUCGAAGGAAAAUUGUUUUCUUAUUUAGUACGCAAAAUUUCAAGAUUUUGUAUAAAGCAGUUGUCGAAAUAUAAGUAAUUAAAAACUGUAAAAAUCUCCAAAAAGUUUUAUUUUCUUCUUAUUUUUCUUCAUCCGACACUGCAGACGCUCGUAGAGAAAAAACUACUGGGUCUAGAAAGCUCAAUUUUAAACUUAAUCCUUUCUCGUUAUCAAUGAGGUACUAGCCAAACUUUCGGGUCGAUAGGUCAAAAGUUCACGGGGUUUCCCAUAGAGCUAAUUCAGUUUUACGGCUUUAUUUUAUGCUUAUAAGAAGAAAAUUGCAUGGAAACAAAUGAAUUUUAUUCGAAACGUUACUCAGAAUUACAAAAGUUUAAAUUUAUGCCAAUUAAUUAAAACUUUUUAUAAAACGCCGAUUUUACUAAACGGCGUUCAGUAACAUGAUAAUAAUUUAAAACAUAUUUCGAUAUAAACAUAGAUGACAUCAUCGUUUCGUUACAUUGUUGUUUCUAACAUCAAAGUUUACAGAAAUUUCCUCUACAGCGAUUAUGUUAAAUUGUAAUGAUUAUAUGUUACUGUAGGUAACAUAUAGGCCUACAAUUUGCGAAAUGGAGAAAUAGCCAUUUUUUUUUAAUUAAAGAGUUGUUUGUUAAGUUAUGGUAACGCAACACUUGGGCGAUCUGUCUAGGGCAGGGAUGGCGAACCUUUUUCAUUGUCCGUGCCAUAAAUUUAUAAAUAAUCUUUAUGGAAUUACUAACGUGCCACACUGAAAUUGUCUAGCAUAAAUUAUGAUUCUUGUAUUUUUCUCUUUUUUGCUUUUUUAUUUUUUAUUUUAUGUUUUUUCUUUUCCUUUCAUUCUCGAGAAAAAAAUUAUAAUUUAAUAAACAAAAAAAAAUUUCCAUUAAACAAUUCUAUUUGUGGUUGAAAGCUUUGUGAAAGCUUACAUUUUCCGCCAUUCCAAAAUUCUCUCUUUCAGCGUAUUCUUAGCUAAUGGUAUAUCUUUAAUUCUCUGGAUAAUUUUUUCUUUAUUUUCGAAAUCUUCGAAUAAGUAGAGCGCACAUUGCAACCAAGCUUCCUUUAAAAAAUGACCGUUAUUAAAAGUUUUCCUGUAUUGAGCAAUAGCUUUUGACGCUUGAUAACUAGCAGCAGUAGUGUUUGAUUGAGUUCCAAUAUAUUUCAUUAAUGACGUAGCUUGUUCAUUUUUAUUUUUGAAAACACGUGAUAUAUAGGCCUACUCCUUUUGCUCUUUUUCACUUCGAUUGAAAAGAGAUUUGCGGUUGGUUUCAUAAUAUCGCUUUACUGAUGAUGUUCUACAAACCACCGUUCCUGAAAAUAAAAUGCAAAUAGCUUUACUGUCCUUAUUAAUCAUACCGUACCUAUCGGUCCACCAAAUUGGAAAUUCUCUGCUACUACCUGUGUCUGAUAAUUUCGAUUUUUUCAUUGAACUAGCUAUAAUAAAAAAAUUAUAAAACAAUA